CCCCGUCCUUUCCAACAAACCAAUCAUUCCCGUAAAGGAUUUUAUCUUUCUUUGACUUUCUUUCAGAUUAUUU
rnacentral:tRNA from 1 species